GUGGGGAAUAUUGGACAAUGGGCGAAAGCCUGAUCCAGCCAUGCCGCGUGUGUGAAGAAGGUCUUCGGAUUGUAAAGCACUUUAAGUUGGGAGGAAGGGCAGUAAGUUAAUACCUUGCUGUUUUGACGUUACCGACAGAAUAAGCACCGGCUAACUUCGUGCCAACAGCCGCGGUAAUACGAAGGGUGCAAGCGUAAAUCGGAAUUACUGGGCGUAAAGCGCGCGUAGGUGGUUUUGUAAGUUGGAGGUGAAAUCCCCGGGCUCAACCUGGGAACUGCCUCCAAAACUGCAUGACUAGAGUACGGUAGAGGGUAGUGGAAUUUCCUGUGUAGCGGUGAAAUGCGUAGAUAUAGGAAGGAACACCAGUGGCGAAGGCGACUACCUGGACUGAUACUGACACUGAGGUGCGAAAGCGUGGGGAGCAAACAGGAUUAGAAACCCGAGUAGUCC
rnacentral:rRNA from 1 species